rnacentral:rRNA from 1 species
GACGAACGCUGUCGGCGUGCUUAACACAUGCAAGUCGAGCGGUAAGGCCCUUUCGGGGGUACACGAGCGGCGAACGGGUGAGUAACACGUGGGUGACCUGCCCUCAGCUCUGGGAUAAGCCUGGGAAACCGGGUCUAAUACUGGAUAUGACUCCAUGACGCAUGUUGUGGGGUGGAAAGCCUUGUGCGGCUGAGGAUGGGCCCGCGGCCUAUCAGCUUGUUGGUGGGGUGAGGCCUACCAAGGCGACGACGGGUAGCCGGCCUGAGAGGGCGACCGGCCACACUGGGACUGAGACACGGCCCAGACUCCUACGGGAGGCAGCAGUGGGGAAUCUUGCGCAAUGGGCGAAAGCCUGACGCAGCGACGCCGCGUGAGGGAUGACGGCCUGG